AAACCUUGGCACGCACGCGAAGGCUUGGGGCGCCCCGGCGCGCCCUCCCUCCCAGGCCUCCACCACCCGCGGACUCACCACUGUGCGAGCUGAACCACCUGGGUGCGAUGUGCAGAGGUAGAGCAUCCGCCAGCGAGGCUCGGGAGCCCAGGCAACUGCGAUGUCUGUGGACUGUCUUGGGCAGCAUGCGGUGCUUUCUGGCCGCAGAUUCUUGUACAUCGUCAAUCUAGAUGCCCCUUUUGAAGGUCACCGAAAGAUCUCUCGCCAGAGCAAAUGGGACAUUGGAGCUGUGCAGUGGAAUCCUCAUGACAGCUUUGCACACUAUUUUGCAGCUUCGAGUAACCAACGAGUAGACCUUUACAAGUGGAAAGACGGCAGUGGGGAAGUUGGCACAACCUUACAAGGCCACACUCGUGUCAUCAGCGACUUGGACUGGGCGGUGUUUGAGCCCGACCUCCUGGUUACCAGCUCUGUGGACACCUACAUCUACAUUUGGGAUAUCAAAGACACAAGGAAACCUACUGUUGCACUGUCUGCUGUUGAAACCCAGUACAGCAG
rnacentral:sRNA from 1 species